GGUUGCCUAAUGGUUAGAGCAUCUACCUCGGGUGCAGGAGGUCGUGGGUUUGAACCCCAGCAGAGCCA